AACGAACGCUGGCGGCGUGCCUAACACAUGCAAGUCGAGCGCGAAAGGAGCAAUCCGAGUAGAGCGGCGCACGGGUGCGUAACACGUGGAUAAUCUGCCUCAGGGUUGAGGAUAACCUUCCGAAAGGUUGGCUAAUACUCGGUAAGCUUACGGUGACUUCGGUCGCUGUGAGAAAACUAGACCUCUAUUUAUAAGUUUAGGCCCAGAGAUGAGUCCGCGGCCAUCAGCUAGUUGGCGGGGUAACGGCCCACCAAGGCUACGACGGGUAGCUGGUCUGAGAGGACGAUCAGCCGCACUGGAACUGAGACACGGUCCAGACUCCUAUGGGAGGCAGCAGUGGGGAAUUUUCCACAAUGGGCGAAAGCCUGAUGGAGCAACGCCGCGUGUGUGAUGAAGGUCUUCGGAUCGUAAAGCACUUUCGACUGGGACGAAAAACCUUUGGCUAACAUCCAGGGGCCUGACGGUACCAGGAGAAGAAGCACCGGCUAACUCUGUGCCAGCCGCCGCCGUAAAAC
rnacentral:rRNA from 1 species